CUUCAGCCUUGAUUUUAGAGAGCUGAGAGUUGGAGCAGACCUGCAGUUUUCUUGGAGUUUGUUCCAGAUGUGUGGCGCAUAAUAACUGAACGCUGCUUCCCCCAUGUUUAGUUUUGACUCUAGGGACUGGGAAGCAGACCUGUACCUGACGACCUCAGAUGUCUGGAUGGUUCAUAAUGCUCGUAUAAAUGCACUCAGUGCAGGAUUUUGAAAUCUGUUCUCUCAGAUGUAACUCACGAACAACAACAUGAUAUAAGUUUUGGAGCUGUGCUGCGCUGAAGGACGACUUCUUGACAGGAGGCCAGAAGGAAUCUCUCACUGCCAGGCGAAGAGGCCAAGUUCCAUUCCUUCUGCUCGGCUUCAGCUCCUCCAAAUUCCCCUGACCUCCUGACCCACUGCAGUUUGACCGUGUGAACCCUCCGCUGCCAAUCUCCGCCUGUCGCACGUUCACCAACAACUCUGAGAAUCUUGAACUUUAGAGUCUCUAAAGGUGGACGUAAAGGUGUGAUGAAGAGGAUAAAGGCCUCUCCAGGUCUGGGUCAGGCCUCCUGCAGCAGCAGCUUGCCUCCUGGAUAAGAGCAGCAGACCCCGGUCUCUUUACUUACAGCCCGCUGGAGCAAGAGGUCGACACACACCUGAACCCUUCCCCAACACAGAGUGGGCCGCGGGGCCCGGAAACACACAGGACAGCCGACCUGCUUUGACCUCUCCUCUGCUCUGUGGCCCCCUGGGACCCCCAACAAUAAGCUCAGGGACCACUCGCAACCUCUCUGUUAGCACACUCUGCCCCCUCAGCACCUCAGCCAGACAGUGCUGCACUAUUCAAAAAACACACACCCACUCAGGCGCGUACACUGUACACAUAAACAAAGAGUCACACUCAAACAUUAUACAGGCAUCACAUACUGCCUCAUGCAAACACAAUCUGUCACACACAGCCAUGUAGCGCAUCUCUCCCUCUGUGUCUCUCUCUCGCUCACUCACUCAGUCUCUGUCUCUCCCCUCUGUCUGUCUGUUUCAUGUGGAGCCAGGUGGGAGCUCAGCGUUAAACUGGUGAAUAUCUCCAUCUUGUGGACAGUGUUUGCUUAAUAUGAGACAUGUUGAGGGGCAAAUGUUUUAUUGUCUGGUCAGGGAAGGUCAGAGCACUAAUUUACUUUGCUACAGUUCUGCUCUUCACAUAGGACGCGGCAACACAUAAAAACGAGUAAUAUCAGUGCAUCUACGCGGUAACAGCAAUUAUUUUCUUGAAUUUAUCAUGUGAGCCAAUGUCUGUUGUAAACAAGGUAUGUUCAUGUGUGAAAUCAUUUGUCCACAGCCUCCCAGGGUCAAAGAGGCGGCAGGGUGACUUUAUCUUGAAUGUCACUUUGUUUUUGGUUGGUUAGACAGUACCCUCUCUUGGAUUGGCUUCUCGGAUGAAGGCACAGGUGAGGCCCACAGAGGAGCAGCCCCCUCUCUCCACAGCGUUUCCUCUGCUAAAACAGCCCUACAUUUUAAUAUGCAACAUCUGUGCCGGGAGAGCCUUCCAAAAUGGCUGCUCCUUAGAGGAUGACGGUAGAGUCUGCUCAAACUUGGGGUUGGGGCAUUUGGUACUGCAAGGUUCUGCACAGAUGUUAGCAUUCACAAUGUCACUCUGUCCUUUGCUUCAGUACCCAGGGAGGUCUAUUUUAAGGGAGGGUGGUGUGUUUUCUUCCUUAGUUCCCUGAGAUCACUUUAUCUGUAACUGUCAUUGUAAAGAAUUCUAGGUAGACUUGUUCAACUGAACUGGGACUGCUGUCUCUGAUCACUAAAGUAUGAAGGAGCUUUCUGCUUGUUAAUUUAUCAUUUGGUCUGGUACCACUAUAUGGUGGCAGCGCGGUGACGCUGUACCAUGUAGUCGCAAAACACGACAGCGGUUAACGGUGCAAUACAUCAGGCAAUCACAUUAAAAGCCUUCAAAACGAUACUGUAAAGAGAAUGAUAAAGGAUUCCAAGACAAAGCCACUGUUGUUUCCCGAGUCAUCUCAGUCGCAUUCGUAGAGGAGCAUUAGCUCAGUCGCACAGAGCCGUGUUUGUGCUGUGCUUUCACAAAGAAUUGAGAAUAUUUUCUGAACAGAGAUGCCAUGACCUAAAGGCUGCUUGUCAGUCGGAUUAUUCAACUGAUUCUCAAACAAGACUCUCGACAAGGCUGCGAAGAAUCAGGGAGGGAACGAAGGGGGCCAAAAGAGAGAAAAGGCAAA